AGUGAACGCUGGCGGUAGGCCUAACACAUGCAAGUCGAACGGCAGCACAGUAAGAGCUUGCUCUUACGGGUGGCGAGUGGCGGACGGGUGAGGAAUACAUCGGAAUCUACUUUUUCGUGGGGGAUAACGUAGGGAAACUUACGCUAAUACCGCAUACGCCCUACGGGUGAAAGCAGGGGAUCUUCGGACCUUGCGCGAUUGAAUGAGCCGCUGUCGGAUUAGCUAGUUGGCGGGGUAAAGGCCCACCAAGGCGACGAUCCGUAGCUGGUCUGAGAGGAUGAUCAGCCACACUGGAACUGAGACACGGUCCAGACUCCUACGGGAGGCAGCAGUGGGGAAUAUUGGACAAUGGGCGCAAGCCUGAUCCAGCCAUACCGCGUGGGUGAAGAAGGCCUUCGGGUUGUAAAGCCCUUUUGUUGGGAAAGAAAAGCAGCAGGUUAAUACCCCGCUGUUCUGACGGUACCCAAAGAAUAAGCACCGGCUAACUUCGUG
rnacentral:rRNA from 1 species